GGGAAUAAAGCUUAAACAUGACAAAUUGAAAUGCAAGAACUAAUUCAACAACACUUCUAAUGCUAUUCAAAUUGCAACUAUUGAAAAAAAUAUAAAAUAAAUUAAAAUGCUAAUUGUAUUAAUCUAUCAAUGCAUAUUCACGGAAAAAGUACUAGAAGAAAAGAAGAAUGCGUUAACAGUGAGGAAACUAAAUGAGUAAGCUGCUUCCCUUCUCUUAAAGCAAAGAUUAAAUGUUGUUGCCUUGAAUAAAACAAAAAUCCAUCGCUAGUACUCAUGGAAGUGAAUGUCCAAACUAACAAAAACAAAUCAGCGCCUGUACUGGGAGAGCACUUCUUCCAGCAAAAUAAAACCAGCGUGUGUGUCCUCCACUAGCAAAACAUAAAUGCUUUCUUCCCAAUUGAAAAUGAAACAACAUGCUGCCCCAGCUAAAUCAGCGUUUUCUUACUAAAAGAAAAUCUAAUUCUACGUCCACAAGAACGGAAAGGAAAACGUUGAAUGCCAAGAGUG
rnacentral:lncRNA from 1 species